AGAAUCAACGCUGGCGGCGUGCCUAACACAUGCAAGUCGCACGAGAAAGGGUAGCAAUACCUGAGUACAGUGGCGCACGGGUGAGUAACACGUGAAUAAUCUACCUCCGAGUGGGGAAUAACUGAGAGAAAUCUUAGCUAAUACCGCAUAAUACCCACGGGUCAAAGCAGCAAUGCGCUUGGAGAGGAGUUCGCGGCAGAUUAGUUAGUUGGCGGGGUAAUGGCCCACCAAGACGAUGAUCUGUAUCCGGCCUGAGAGGGCGCACGGACACACUGGAACUGAAACACGGUCCAGACUCCUACGGGAGGCAGCAGUGGGGAAUUUUGCGCAAUGGGGGAAACCCUGACGCAGCAACGCCGCGUGGAGGAUGAAGCCCCUUGGGGUGUAAACUCCUUUCGAUCGGGAAGAUAAUGACGGUACCGAUAUAAGAAGCCCGGCUAACUUCGCGCCAGCGCGC
rnacentral:rRNA from 1 species